rnacentral:rRNA from 1 species
GAUGAACGCUAGCUACAGGCUUAACACAUGCAAGUCGCGGGGCAGCAUGGGGGUUGCUUGCAAUCCCCGAUGGCGACCGGCGCACGGGUGAGUAACGCGUAUCCAACCUGCCCUUCACCACGGGAUAACCCGGCGAAAGUCGGACUAAUACCGUAUGUUGUCCAUUGACGGCAUCCGAUUUGGACGAAAGGUUUGGCGGUGAAGGAUGAGGAUGCGUCCGAUUAGCUGGACGGCGGGGUGACGGCCCACCGUGGCGACGAUCGGUAGGGGUUCUGAGAGGAAGGUCCCCCACACUGGAACUGAGACACGGUCCAGACUCCUACGGGAGGCAGCAGUGAGGAAUAUUGGUCAAUGGGCGUAAGCCUGAACCAGCCAAGUAGCGUGCAGGAUGACGGCCCUAUGGGUUGUAAACUGCUUUUAUGCGGGGAUAAAGUGGCCCACGUGUGGGUUUUUGCAGGUACCGCAUGAAUAAGGACCGGCUAAUUCCGUG